AUCGGUCUUUGGUCAAGGGUAUAUGAGUAGCUGCGCUCUCCUGCUAGAACCUCCAAACAAGCUCUGAGUCCAUUGUAGGAAUAUAGGGUAGUAAAAAUUAUGGACUACGUGAAGAAAUGUGGACCUUGGUGUGGGCCAGGUAACCCACUAGCUCAUGGUC
rnacentral:snRNA from 1 species